rnacentral:rRNA from 1 species
CCCUUAGAUGUCCGGGGCCGCACGCGCGCUACACUGAAGGAAUCAGCGUGGCUUUCUCCCUGACCCGAAAGGGUUGGGAAACCCGUUGAAUCUCCUUCGUGAUAGGGAUUGGGGCUUGAAAUUGUUCCCCAUGAACGAGGAAUUCCCAGUAAGAGCGAGUCAUAAGCUCGCGUUGAUUACGUCCCUGCCCUUUGUACACACCGCCCGUCGCUACUACCGAUUGAACGGUUUAGUGAGGGCCUCGGAUUGGUCUCGGCCCGCUCUUUACCGGGCGGCGCCGUUGGUCGAGAAGACGCUCGAACUUGAUCGUUUAGAGGAAGUAAAAGUCGUAACA